CCAUCGGUUGUAGGUGAGAGGCAGGCGUUCCACUAGGUAAGACCAGCAAUAGGUUGUUGAUUGGUAUUUUCCUCCUUGGUGACUCGCUCAAGAGUUUAAGGCCCAGAAAUUGCGAUUCCAAAGUAAGGAACUUCUCGUUGAGAUCAUGGAAUUGCUCUUUAACAUCUUGGAAACCAUUCCUCGCUUGUCUCAUAAAGGUGUGCAUUUCCGCCUCAGUCUCCCUGCAGAACCAAGAAAGACCCAUGCGUUUCGAUAUUAAGUCAUUAAGACGUCCAAAGUGACCACCUCCAGCACAUUUUAUAUGAGCGUAAUUAUCACAAAGCCAGCAGCUGAGGUAGGAAUAACCGUUAAUGGUGCCACCAAAUUCGAAUUUUUUUGCACUGCAGAUAAGAGCCAUUUUCAACAGCUGUUGGGUCACUGUGCACAGCGAGAAAAAAGACGCACUGAGAGCACAAGCUAGAUGAUUGACCAGGCAGCAGAACGAGCACGAUGAUCAGCAGUUAUGUAUGUACGUAUGUACAUAUACACAGGGCAGACGGCGCAGCGAAGUGACGAAAGCUAACGGCGAACUCCAAUAAAGAAAAGCAGAGACGCCGAGAUAUUAGUCCAUAAUCGAAGAAUGCAGGCGUCGUAUGGUGAGAGUGAGAGCCGAAGUGCAGCUCGCGUGAAAUCCAGAGAGUGAGUAGGCAGGGCAACGGAUUAUGCGCGAAAACGGUGAGUGCCAAAGGGCAAUGAGUCGAUGAGUCAAAGCAAAAAAAAGCAACC
rnacentral:lncRNA from 1 species